ACUCCUACGGGAGGCAGCAGUGGGGAAUCUUGCGCAAUGGGCGAAAGCCUGACGCAGCCAUGCCGCGUGAAUGAUGAAGGUCUUAGGAUUGUAAAAUUCUUUCACCGGGGACGAUAAUGACGGUACCCGGAGAAGAAGCCCCGGCUAACUUCGUGCCAGCAGCCGCGGUAAUACGAAGGGGGCUAGCGUUGCUCGGAAUUACUGGGCGUAAAGGGAGCGUAGGCGGACAUUUAAGUCAGGGGUGAAAUCCCGGGGCUCAACCUCGGAAUUGCCUUUGAUACUGGGUGUCUUGAGUAUGAGAGAGGUGUGUGGAACUCCGAGUGUAGAGGUGAAAUUCGUAGAUAGUCGGAAGAACACCAGUGGCGAAGGCGACACACUGGCUCAUUACUGACGCUGAGGCUCGAAAGCGUGGGGAGCAAACAGGAUGAGAAACCCGUGUAGUCCCA
rnacentral:rRNA from 1 species